AGGAAGGAAGAGGCCGCUGCCGUUCGUCGUUCGUGCCCUACCCGCCAAUCUAUCUCUAACAAGCAAGCAAGCUAGGAGACUCACUGUGUUACUUACUUAACACUUACACAACAACAUGGAGCAGCAAGAGGCUCAGGAACCCUCAGAGCACUGCUGCAAAAGAGAGAGCCAUACUUGGUGCUCCUUUACAACCUGCUGAAGGGUCCAACUACAAUGUUUUCACCACUGCCAGGAAAAGGUGGGGGAAAGCAAAGAAGGCCCUUUGUAACCCUUUUGCUCAUCCAGCAGUGGUGAGUUUACCUUUGGUACUGACAGGAUGGCCCUAGGCAAAGCAUCUCUCAUUCUUUACAUCAUCUCUGACAGCAGCAAUGCUGUCAUAAUUGAGACAUCACUGACUCAGCAGGGGAUGAUAUCCCAGCCCCACACAUCUUGUUCAGUCAAUAAAGUGGCAGCAGCAGCAGCAGCAGCUAUUUCAGUUCUGGUAUUCCCAACCUUGGAUCCGCAUAUGUUCUUGGACUACAACUUCCAUCAUCCCCAACAACAAUGGGAAAGGCCAACAUCAGGACACCCAAGGUUGAGAACCCUAAUCUAUUUAAAAAGCCACCCAAGUGAAUAGUCCAUCAAUCCAUCUUGGGACAAAUAAUUCAUCCUUCCUUUUGUGUCUGCUGAAUCUACUGCCAAUACAUUUUCAUUUUAAUGGACAAUCCAAUAUAUUGACAGAUAAUAUUUUUCUCUAUUCUUUCUGAUGUUGUUUUAUACAGUUCUGCUUCAGAGAUAAUUUAAACAUUAAGAAAAUUUAAAAAAUCCAGGCCUUCUGGGAUUGCACCACUUGCAACUGCAGGGGGGACAAUGUACUUUCAAAUAAAUAAAUAAAAUAAAUAAAAUCUGCGUAGAAACCUCUUGCACUCAGAAAAUUAGCAGCAAUCCUGAAUUCUGAAGUGAUGCAGUGCAUGUGGCACCCCAUGAUUA